rnacentral:rRNA from 1 species
UUAAUUAGCCAUGCAUGUGUAAGUAUAAAUAUUCUACUUUGAAACUGCGAAUGGCUCAUUAUAUCAGUUAUAGUUUAUUUGAUGAAAAGUACUACUUGGAUAACCGUAGUAAUUCUAGAGCUAAUACAUGAUCAAUUCCUCGACUUUGAAGAGGUGUAUUUAUUAGAAUGAAAACCAAUAGACUUUGUCUGUUUGUGAGUAAUAAUAACUUGUCAUAUCGCAUGCUUAGGUAGCGAUGUUUCUUUUAAGUUUCUGCCCUAUCAGCUUUCGAUGGUAGUGUAUUGGACUACCAUGGCAGUAACGGGUAACGAAGAAUUUGGGUUCGAUUUCGGAGAGGGAGCCUGAGAGAUGGCUACCACAUCCGAGGAAGGCAGCAGGCGCGUAAAUUACCCAAUCCUGACACAGGGAGGUAGUGACAAUAAAUCACAAUGCGGAACUUCUGUUUUGCAAUUGGAUUGAGAACAACGCACAACACUUAUCGAUAAACAAUUGGAGGGCAAGUCUGGUGCCAGCAGCCGCGGUAAUUCCAGCUCCAAUAGCGUAUAUUAACGUUGUUGACAGUAAAAAAGCUCAAA